GCUCCCUCCCGAGACGAAAUCAGAGGAAAACGCCUCUAGUUUCUAAGAAGCACACAGGGAGCCACUUCUUUACCGCUAGCUCCUGCAGGAUCUGUGGGAUCCUGCAGGUGCUGGUUUGCCUCCUGAGCCCUGUCCUAAGGACACUCUGCACAUCGCCUCCUGGCAGAAUGCUCUGUUGCACUAAAUGCACCAACUCUGGAGGUCCACAAUGGUAUUGCACCAUGAGAGAAGAAUAUCGGAGCAAAGCUGGGAAAUGGACACACCAGGGGGAGCGAAUGUAAUGUUACAAUCCGAGAAAAUUAGAAAGGAGAAGAAAAAGCAAAUCCCAAUCCUAAACCAUCUUGAGAACAUUUGCUAGUUUAUUCCUUUACCCCAUGGCAACAGUUACAUAAAGUGAUUAUGUCCUUGCUUUAAAAAAGUGCUAUUCCUCUUCUUUCAAAAUUAUAUUUAAACUUCAAUAUUUACCUUAAUAGUUCACUUACAGAUGGCAGAAGCAGAACGGUCACACAUCCCUGCAACACAAUUUAAAAAACAAAAGAAAAAUAAAUUUCUUGCAGAAGUAAAAACACAACAUAUUCCAUUUAUUUCCCACACACUAAAAUCUUGUCCUCUCUCAGUAGAAACAACAAGCAAUAUUUUUCUGUGUAAAAGGGAGUGGAGAGUUUUCCAGUCUUCUCUGUUUCUCCCCAGACAGAUGGGCUUUCACAUUCAAGAGACACUGGAGCUGCCAUAACCUUGAGUGGACAUGAGCUUGGCCAGAUUGCACUGUCCAAAUGCCAGGACCCAGGGCCCCGGGGAGGUCUCUGGUGCAUGCGGCAGUGCUCUUGGAGGAUCUUGAUCACUCCAGCGCAUUCCUUGCAGCAAUCUGCACUUGGAACAGCGUUUGAUAUGGAAGGAAACACUAGUAUAAUAUCAAGUUGUGUAUAAUUGCAAAACUUGCUGUCUCGGAUGUGAAAUAAAUUCGGCUAAUUUGUUGGUAGGAGCUAUCAUAGUAUUUUUUUGGUAUCAAUGUCACUGGAGACUAUAUCCCUGAAUAAGUGCCAGGCACUGGCUCUGAACUAACUAAAUGCUUUGCAUGUGUUAUUUCAUUAAAUCCUCACAAUAA
rnacentral:lncRNA from 1 species